rnacentral:lncRNA from 1 species
AAAGCAACAACAAAAAAUCUGGGGAGGGGAAAGAAUAUGAUUUCCUGAGUUGCCAUCAAAAAAAGAUAUAUGAAGAAUAAUGGCUAAAAACUUCACAAAUUUGAUAUAAAACAAUCUAUAUAUUUAACAAGCUACUCCAAACAGGAUAAACUUAAAGAGAUCCAAAUCUAGACACAAUAACCAAACUGUCACAAGAGAAGACAAAGAGAAAAUCUUCAAAGCAACAAUGGAGAACCCACUCAUUGUGCACAAGGGAUCCUCAAAAAGGUCAAUAUCUGAUUUCUCAUGAGAAACCAUGAAAGCCAGAGUGGAGCAGGGUGGGAAUAGAUAAUAUAUUCAAAGUUCUGAAAUUAAAAAAGACAAUCAACCAAGAAUUCUAAAACCUCGUCUCUACUAAAAUUACAAAAAUUAGCCGGGUGUGGUGGUGGGUUUGCAAGAGGCAGUGAAGGCAGCCAGUUCAGGCUGAAACAGGCUUCACAGACUUACACAACUGGCAGAGAGGUUAGCAAGUAGAAAGUAUGAGUAUGCAGUAAGUAUACAGACAACUAUACAAAUGAAACUAAAACAGUUAUUAACUCCAGGAAAAACAAAAAGUUGUAAGAAAAAGGUAAUCAUAGUUUACCAAAUAUUAAUAGUGAACUGUAAAUAGCUGCGAAAUGGACAAAGAAAAUUGUUGCUUGAAUGGGAUUACUACUCUUGCUAUUUAAGUCAUUUAGGUGAUCUCACUAAGGCAUUUUCCUCACCACGUAUUUCUUAGAGAUAUAAU